rnacentral:rRNA from 1 species
GGAACGAACGCUGGCGGCAUGCCUAACACAUGCAAGUCGAACGAGACCUUCGGGUCUAGUGGCGCACGGGUGCGUAACGCGUGGGAAUCUGCCCUUAGGUUCGGAAUAACAGUUAGAAAUGACUGCUAAUACCGGAUAAUGUCUUCGGACCAAAGAUUUAUUGCCUAAGGAUGAGCCCGCGUAAGAUUAGCUUGUUGGUGAGGUAAAGGCUCACCAAGGCGACGAUCUUUAGCUGGUCUGAGAGGAUGAUCAGCCACACUGGGACUGAGACACGGCCCAGACUCCUACGGGAGGCAGCAGUGGGGAAUAUUGGACAAUGGGCGAAAGCCUGAUCCAGCAAUGCCGCGUGAGUGAUGAAGGCCUUAGGUUGUAAAGUCUCUUUUACCCGGGAUGAUAAUGACAGUACCGGAGAAUAAGCCCGCUAACUCCGUGCCAGCAGCCGC